rnacentral:rRNA from 1 species
GACGAACGCUGGCGGCGUGCUUAACACAUGCAAGUCGAACGGACAGGCCCUGCUCUUGUGGGGUUCUCGAUUGGCGAACGGGUGUGUAACACGUGUGUAUCCUGCCCUUGACUGUGGGGGAACUCUUGGAAACUGGGGCGCAUACCGGAUAUGAUCUCUUGCUGCAUGUGGUGCGAUGGAAAGUUUCGGCGGUUGUGGAUCGACUCGCUGCUUAUCAGCUUGUUUGUGUGGUAGUGGCUUACCAAGGCUUUGACGGGUAGCCUGCCUGAGAGGGUGACCGGGGACAUUGGGACUGAGAGAGGGACCAGACUCCUACGGGAGGCAGUAGGGGAGAACCUUACACAACGAGCGGAAGCCUGAGGUAAAAAUGCCGGGUGCGGAAUGACGGCCUACGGGUUGUAAACAGCUUUCGACUGAGACGAAGAGUGAGUGACGGUAACGAGUAAAGAAGCACCGGCUAACUACGUG